AUGAUGGAACACACACACUCUCUCUCUCGCACUCUCUCGCUCAUGCACAUGGUGUCUGUGCAGUCAAGUCAACAAUGUUCGGUGACAGAAACAACUUUGUUUGGCCUUCCAAAAGAGGACGAUAUCCGCUUCAUCAUGCCUGGAGCUGGUCUGUGCUGGUCGCUGAGGAAAUACAUCAACUUUGCACUGUGGAUUGCCGAAAUUGGCUUUCACCGUGGACGAAGCGGAGUCCAGCCUGGGGUCAUCACAUGUGGUUGCCGCAAGCCCAAGUUAUGCUCCUUCGUAGAAUCCGCCUCAAGGCCGCCUGCCUCUCCUCACUCUAGACCGCGGCUCACUCUAGGCCUCCGGUCUCCGCUCACUCAAGACUGCAGUGUGUGACGCUGUUUUGUUGAGAAAAAGUGAAACUACUUUGUUUGGCCUUCCAAAAAAAGACAUGACUAGAAAUCAACUUUAUAUCAUGUUUAUAAUGUUUAUGUCUCGUCACCCCGGCCGGACAGGGCAUCACAAUAUGUUAAGGGCCAUAACAUUUCCGUCACACGCUUGAGGCAUUCGGCCAAUCACAACACACUGGAUAGUUGGCCAAUCAGAGCACACCUCGCUUUUCAGAGCGAUGAGCCUUGUAAAAAUUGAUGUGUUUCAGAAGGCGGGGCAUAGAGGAGAAACAAUAAUGUACAGUAUAUGGAAAAUAAUGUGUUUUUUUUAACCUUAAGUCGCAUAAACACAUUUCACUACACCAAAUACACAAAAUAAUGUUAUUUUAGCAACAUCAUAUGACCCCUUCAAAGCAUGUUGCUGUGUGGUUGUUAAGGUGCUCUGAGCGAUUUAAGAAUGCUGCCUUGCAGUUGAUAGGGUGUUCUGAGUUGGUUUGAACAGUCAAGCCUAUACUGGUCUCUAGGUAUGGUUUGAGUCCUUCAUUCAUUGGCGGAAGUUUUUUCAUGUAAAUGCACACUCCUUUCCUGAGGAAUCAUUUAUCUACUGUAGGCUAUUCAAAAUCAUCUUUCAGCCAUUCAUGUCACCAAAUAAGUGCAUUCUGUGCCUGCAAAUUUGUUUUGUAAAACACAAUCGAUGUGAUCAGCGGCUCACAUCACUGGAGGCUCAGAGCAAACAGAGACGGGAAAGAAUAGAGUGGAAAACAGAGAUAGAAGUGAACAAGGAAGGGACACAGAUGCAAGCUGGAGUCUUUUAUCCAAACGCGCCAUUCAGAUUCUCUUGUGGAUCUUCCAGCCGAAAAACAGAUGCACAGUUCAGGAGCAAAUUCCAGGUAUCCUGCAGUUACACAAAAUCUAUUAGGGGACUGGACUGAAUUACGCGGUAUGGAAGAUGGCAAGAGAAAGAAAAGGCAUUUUGCCACGAGUCACAAAAACAUCCACAUGCUUUGAAAGACAUUAAUGCGUCUACAUGAGAAAUGGAUGCCGCCGGUGCAGACGCAGGGGAUUAUUUACAAUUACUACACACACACACACACACACACACACACACACACACAUAUUUAUCUUACACUGUAUCUAUUUGAGCAUUGCAAUGUGUAUUGCAAUUCUUUGGGUGCCAAAACAUCAACAACCAUUAUCA
rnacentral:lncRNA from 1 species